GAAGCACUUCAUCCUCACAACAGUCAUCGUAUUAGUAUGUUUGUUACACAUUUCAAGAGCAGCUUCAGAUCUUACUGAUACAGCUUGCUCUGUAGAUGGUAAUCAGUGUAAAAAUAUCGAGCAUGCUUCGUGUGACCAAACACAAAGAAAAUGCAAAUGCAACAGUGGUUUCUAUCUUGAGGCAAGCCUUUGCAUAUUUAACUCCAGUAAUACAUUCAGAAUUGGAGUAUUUCCACUUUUGCUUGCUUGUGUCACGACAUUUACAUCGAUGCUUAGAUAAACUCUUAUUUGAAACAAAAGUGUCUCCCAUAUGUGCAUGUUACAGUAACAGUUUGUACGGAAACUUGCAUUUAUUUAUGAUCAAUUUGUAAUUAUUUUAUACAUCAAAAUACUUAUAUCAUGUAAACCAAAUAUUAUCUUAAAUCCCUAACUUCAAAAACAUAGCUUUAAUUGAUAUCUGUCGAUAUUAUGCCCGUAAUACAAAGAUUUUUUGAUCACAAUGUAUUAUAACAUAUUUUAAUCUGAUUUCAUGGUUUUAUUGAAUGAUACAGUAACAAAAAUAAUUAAAAUCCCGACGAGCGUUCUUUCUCUAUAAACAGAUAUAUACUUUUAUAUUGGCAACUUAAUAGUUUAGUCGUAAAUAAAAUUUAGACUGAAUAUCUUUAAGAAGUACCAAUUUUCUUUGUGGUUAUAUUUUAACAUGUGUGUUUAUCCAUUCACUUAAUAAACAGAAUUUACAUUU